CCUACGGGGGGCAGCAGCAAGGAAUUUUCGGCAAUGGGCGCAAGCCUGACCGAGCAACGCCGCGUGGAGGAUGACGGCUCUUGGGUUGUAAACUCCUUUUGGGGGGGACGAUGAUGACGGUACCCUCCGAAUCAGGCCCGGCUAACUACGUGCCAGCAGCCGCGGUAAUACGUAGGGGCCAAGCGUUGUCCGGAAUUACUGGGCGUAAAGCGUGGGUAGGUGGUCGGUGAUGUGCCGCGUGAAAGCGCCGGAGUAAUGCCGGCGAGGUCGCGGUAGACACAUUGACUGGAGGCUCGCAGAGGAACGUGGAAUUCCCGGUGUAGUGGUGAAAUGCGUAGAUAUCGGGAGGAACACCAGUGGCGCAAGCGGCGUUCUGGGCGAGACCUGACACUGAGGCACGAAAGCGUGGGGAGCAAACAGGAUUAGAUACCCCAGUAGUC
rnacentral:rRNA from 1 species